GACGAACGCUGGCGGCGUGCUUAACACAUGCAAGUCGAACGGAAAGGCACUGCUUGCGUGGGGUGCUCGAGUGGCGAACGGGUGAGUAACACGUGAGUAACCUGCUCUUGACUUUGGGAUAACUUCAGGAAACUGGGGCUAAUACAGGAUAGGAGCUCCUGUUGCAUGGUGGGGGUUGGAAAUUCUCGGCGGUUGGGGAUGGACUCGCGGCUUAUCAGCUUGUUGGUGGGGUAGUGGCUUACCAAGGCUGUGGCGGGUAGCCGGCCUGGGAGGGUGACCGGCCACAUUGGGACUGAGAUACGGCCCAGACUCCUACGGGAGGCAGCAGUGGGGAAUAUUGCACAAUGGGCGGAAGCCUGAUGCAGCGACGCCGCGUGCGGGAUGACGGCCUUCGGGUUGUAAACCGCUUUCGCCUGUGACGAAGCGUGAGUGACGGUACUGGGUAAAGAAGCACCGGCUAACUACGUG
rnacentral:rRNA from 1 species